AUUAGUAACGCGACUCAUUGUUACUUUUCCCCUUUUUACCGAAGAGACCUGGCCUUUUCCCCUUUUUCCCCUUCGCGCCAUUGUGCUUCCCCAAAUCAGAGAACCACUCUCCCCAUUCCAUCACUCAUCACCCUCCCGCCGUAACGUUGCCCACUCAUCAUCGUUCCUCUUCUCCAAUCACCACUCACUACUCACGACUCACCACUUGCCAUCGAGAACCAUCGCUCCUCUUCGUCUUUCUGCUCUGACCAUCGCUGCGAGCUCAGCAUUGGGAAGACUCUGCGCUCAGCAUCGUCUUCUCUUCGCUCAUCGUCGUCGAGAAGUGGUGUUCUCAAGAAUAGGGCUAUUAUAAUGGCAUGUGUGUGCAACAGUGCUACUCUGCGAAUUUGCUUCAGCUUGCGUUUUGCUUACUCUGAUUGAAGUUUUUGGUUGAAGCUCCCAAGCAAAUCAGAUUUUGUCAAUAAUUGAUCGUGUCAUGACAAGGUUUUGUGAUAUGCCGAAAGAUUGGAUGGAUCUACCGAGGUAUAGCGAAGAGUAUAUCAAUGGUGUUAACAGUUUCUUAGACUUUGCAUACUCUGAGGGAGAACCAGAAGGAAAACAAAUCCAAUGUCCUUGUAAGAGGUGUUGCAACAUAAAUUGGUAUAGAAGAGGUGUUGUCUUUGACCAUUUAGUAGCCGAUGGAUUUGUCAAGGGAUAUAGAACAUGGAUUAAUCACGGGGAAUGGACAAUUCCAAUGGUGGUUGAUGAUGAGAUAGAUGAUGAAGAAGGUGCACGUGAUGAUAUUGAAGAUUAGGCAGAAGCACUUUGUUCCCUAUGAUAAUAUUGAGAAUAUGGUGAAAAAGCUACCCACACAAGUACCCGAAAUUCAAUUCAUAAAAUUAAUCUAUUAUUGGAGUCAUUCUAUAAUCAAGAUAAAAUUGUACUAUUCUGUUCACUGCAAUUUUGGUUUCUGCAAUUCUGGUAGUUGGUUUAAGUCACUUCUGGUUGCUAUAAUUCUAUUUUAUGUAAUUCCCGUUUACUGCAAUUCUGGUUUUAUACAAUUCUGGUUUCUGCA